UUCUUUUAACAUUUGGGUCGUCAAAAGAAAUCAUUUCAGUUCAUCUGAGACACAACGUCAAAACCGGUACGGAAAGCAGAAGCAAGAGAGAGAUACAGAGAAGAAAACACUGAGUACUGGAUUCAUCCUUUUAAAAGCCACGACCCUGAAUCUGAUUAUAAUUUGAUCGUUAUUUAACGACUAGUUAGUGAGGCACCUUUUAGCUUUAGUUUUAAGUGUUCAGAAGAAAGUAUUUCUAAAUACACAGCACAAUCAUUCACACCCAAAACUAGGUGUGCAUCUUCGUCGGUCUUGCUCUACCAGUUGUACUAGAUUUUUAUUUCCUUCCAGUGAGUUUUUAACCGAAUGCUUUCACUGUCACUCGGUGUUGAAAGGUAGCUUUGGAUAUGAUGGAGUGAAACUGUCAGUGGAGGAGACGGAACCAGCACGGACCCAGAGCUCAGUGCGACCGUUCCACUCCGACUACGACACCUACGACCUACGAGAUUCUGAUGAAGAGGCAGAGGAGGCAGAAGAUGCAGAUGAGGCAGAGGAGGUUUCCCAGCUGGAAAAUAUUCUACAGCUUUCUGUGCGUGAAGAAGAAAGAGGAAACCUUCUUGCCAGGUCUUUGGAUGAGUCUUCGGAGGUCAACAACUAUACAGAUGGUGGAGUGAAACUGUCAGUGGAGGAGACGGAACCAGAAUGGACCCAGAGCUCAGUGCGACCGUUCUACUCCGACUACGACACCUACGACCUACGAGAUUCUGAUGAAGAGGCAGAGUGAUCUAACUCUAAACAUGGACCGUGACUACGACUACGAUACGAACUAAACUAACUCUAUGAUAAUCUGCCGCGUUGUGUGCUGGGAGGCGCGCGUUAUAUAUGUGGACAUGAUCAGUGUCUAAACCGCUAGCAGCUGAGAGCAAUACAGACACACGUGAAAUCCCAGCCAAUGGCAGAACAGGGAGGAGACAUGACAGAAACAUAAACAAAACACACAUGUCCAGAUGUCAUUACGGUCAACAAUGGAAAAGCAGGCACUCGCGCAUUCGCGCUUUGAGCACACUGCUUCAAGGGGGAGUCUUGACAGAACCCCCCCCCCCAAAGGCACUCCUCCCGGAGUGCCAUGAGUCCUCCCUUCUCAUUGGCGGCCCCGGGCCCCUGGGCUGAAUGUCCCAAGCAGAGCCAGGAAACCACACGGUGACGGAGCAGGGAAGCAGAGCGACCCCAUGUCACUAUGGUCAACAAUGGAAAAGCAGGCGCUCGCGCAUUUGCGCUUUGAGCACACUGCUUCACGGGGGAAUCAUGACACAGAGGAGGCAGAGCAUAAUAAUAAUAAUAAUAAUAAUAAUAAUAGCUAAUUAUACAGUAAAUGAUAAGUAAUGUAAUUUAUGUUAUAUAAAAAUAUGUAUUGUUU
ensembl:lncRNA